UACAGAGGGGGGCAAGCGUUAUUCGGAAUUAUGGGCGUAAAGGGCGCGUAGGCGGCCUGGCAAGUGGAAGGUGAAAUCCCUCGGCUUAACCGAGGAACUGCCCUCCAAACUGCUUGGCUUGAGUCCGGGAGAGGUGAGUGGAAUUCCCAGUGUAGCGGUGAAAUGCGUAGAUAUUGGGAGGAACACCAGUGGCGAAGGCGGCUCACUGGACCGGAACUGACGCUGAGGUGCGAAAGCGUGGGGAGCAAACAGG
rnacentral:rRNA from 1 species